rnacentral:rRNA from 1 species
UAACGGAAGGGGGCUAGCGUUGCUCGGAAUCGACUGGACGUAAGCGCACGUAGGCGGCUUUUUAAGUCAGGGGUGAAAUCCUGGAGCUCAACUCCAGAACUGCCUUUGAUACUGAGAAGCUUGAGUCCGGGAGAGGUGAGUGGAACUGCGAGUGUAGAGGUGAAAUUCGUAGAUAUUCGCAAGAACACCAGUGGCGAAGGCGGCUCACUGGCCCGGUACUGACGCUGAGGUGCGAAAGCGUGGGGAGCAAACAGG